UGGCUAACUAAGGAGCAAGUCUUUGCGACCAGGGCCAACAAAAGCAAAAAUGUUGUUCUCAUCCUUAAAUUGGAGUAUCAUAGAUUACUCACUGAAUACACCUAUCCUACUAAGUGUACUGUUUCAGAUACCAACCCUACAGAUAAGGUUAGAAGUUUUUCAAAUAUGGAACCACCUGGAAGCUCCGACUUUCACUCGCAAAUGUAGACAAACUUAUAACGCCACUCCUAGACUGUUCGGUUAUAUCAAGUGCCACAAGCCUUCCUUAGAGAUCCGACCUAUCAUCGAAAAAUACACCACCCCAACUUACAAGUUGGAGAAAUC
rnacentral:lncRNA from 1 species